ensembl:lncRNA
GCCAGUUGUCUACACAGUACACUCGUUAUUUGGGUAGUAUCUAAGCACUGGAAGUAGUUAGAUGUUAGCUGUGUAGCAUUUUAGUGUUUAGCUCUACAUUAUAAUUUAUAUGUUAUUGAACUGAGUAAACAUAUUCAAGGCUUGUUUAUUACACAAGGUUGCAAGUUUUCUUUUCCAGUAAAAUGUUUCUGUGUUUUGUUCACUGCAGGCAGAAUUCACAGAGAGUGAUAGAGGGCUUCAGGCUAUCCCUACUCGCGGCUAGCAAAGUUGUUCUCCCCGUCGGGACUACAAGAACACAAUGUAAGUAAAAAUAUAAACCAUAAUUUAUACUCUAGAUGAAACUUACAGUACUUCAGGUAUUUUCACUAGACACUUUAGAGAUAUUUAUAAUUUCUAUACUUGAAUUUUGUGGAUGUCACUGUAUAUUCACUAACCCAUAUCCAUAUGUCUGUGGAAAGCUAUGAAUGCAAAGCCAGACAGUAAGCAGUAUAUCAUAACAUAUAAUAGGAAUAAUGUCCCUUUGAUUUUUGGAGUUCCGAUCUGAACACCUGUCACUUUUUGGCAAGGGCACGCCCCAGCACCAGGUCUCCCCUGCUGGAGUUGGGGGAGGGUAUGUGUGUGUCUCAGUGACUCAGUGUGUGUGUGUGUGUGUGUGUGUGUGGUGUGUGCAUGUUUGUGAGUGUGUAUGUGUGUGAGAGAGAGGUAGAAGAUGAAACAGCCGUCGAGGAGGUGUUGAUCACACAGCCAGACAGGGUGAGUGACAGACAAUACCUGCUGUAAAAUUCCCUCACAUCUCCGCUGAUCUGUAUUCAUAGAUCCACCAAACUGUACCCCACACCAGCCAGCUCCUUUAGCACGCACCGCCCCACUCCUCACACUCACUUCACUCCUCAACUCACAUGUUAGACCCCUCUCCUUCUCUUCCUUAAGUAUUUACCAAGUCUUUGUUCUCUGUCUAAAUGAUAGCUCUGAUCACUAGCUAGAGAGGCUGAAAGAAGCUCUCUCUCAAUUCAAUUCAUUUCAAGGAGCUUUAAUGGCAUGGGAAAAAUGUGUGAAAAAUGUGUUAACAUUGCCAAAGCAAGUGAGGUAGAUAAUAUAUAAAAGUGAAAUAAACAAUAAAAAUGAACAGUAAACAUUACACAUACAGAAGUUCCAAAACAAUAAAGACAUUACAAAUGUCAUAUUAUGUAUAUAUACUGUGUUGUAACAAUGUACAAAUGGUUUAACUCUCUCUCUCUCUCUCUCUCUCUCUCUCUCUCUCUAUCUCUCUCUCUCUCUCUCUCUCUGACAAUAUGGACUUUCUUUAUUCCACCACUCCACUCCUAAUCUCACCUAAUUCGGAUUCUUCAAAUACUUGGCCGACGAGUGAACGUCAAGGUGCGGAACAGGGUGUGUGUCUCACUGGCAUACACACCAUGUCAAACUGAAUUAAAGACGUCUUACUUAACACACAGGCCAUUCGAUCCGAGGGCUGACAAUGAUGCCAUCAAAUCCACAGUAUGUGGCACCACUAUACCAAACCUCAAGACUUUUCUUGUUGUAGGUGUUGUUAUUGUUGCCUCUCUGGUUGUCAUCUUAUUGUUUGGGUGAUAUGAGGAAAUCUAAAGAAAGAUGAGGAUGAGGAAAACGUCUCCGCAAUAUACACAAAAUGUCUGUGAUUGGUUCCAUCUCUGUAUCUGUCACCAUAUUCCUACAGCAAAAUCAAAACAUUUUGCUGGUUGAAUUCAAAAACAUGGUGCUGAGUGCAGCAAAAUAAAUUGCCAUCUUUGGUUUAUUUGUGUGCAUUGUAAACAUACCUAACA